UACGGAGGGUGCAAGCGUUAUCCGGAUUCACUGGGCGUAAAGGGCGCGUAGGCGGCGUUUUAAGUCGGGGGUGAAAGCCUGUGGCUCAACCACAGAAUGGCCUUCGAUACUGGGACGCUUGAGUAUGGUAGAGGUUGGUGGAACUGCGAGUGUAGAGGUGAAAUUCGUAGAUAUUCGCAAGAACACCGGUGGCGAAGGCGGCCAACUGGACCAUUACUGACGCUGAGGCGCGAAAGCGUGGGGAGCAAACAGG
rnacentral:rRNA from 1 species